CCUACGGGAGGCAGCAGUGGGGAAUAUUGCACAAUGGGCGAAAGCCUGAUGCAGCGACGCCGCGUGAGCGAAGAAGUAUUUCGGUAUGUAAAGCUCUAUCAGCAGGGAAGAUAAUGACCGUACCUGACUAAGAAGCACCGGCUAAAUACGUGCCAGCAGCCGCGGUAAU
rnacentral:rRNA from 1 species